rnacentral:snoRNA from 1 species
CCACCUGGAGUGAGGGGCAGAGACAGCAGUGCAGGUCUGGGGGCAGUUGGUGCUACAGCAGCAGAAAUCCAGAUGGGUUACUUUCCAUUUGCUUGGAAUUCAUCUCUAUAGCAACAUUU